rnacentral:rRNA from 1 species
AGCGAACGCUGGCGGCAUGCUUAACACAUGCAAGUCGCACGAGGGGGCAACCCCUAGUGGCGGACGGGUGAGUAACGCGUAGGUAUCUAUCCGUGGGUGGGGGAUAACAGCGGGAAACUGCUGCUAAUACCGCAUGACACCUGAGGGUCAAAGGCGCAAGUCGCCUGUGGAGGAGCCUGCGUCCGAUUAGCUAGUUGGUGGGGUAAAGGCCUACCAAGGCGAUGAUCGGUAGCUGGUCUGAGAGGAUGAUCAGCCACACUGGGACUGAGACACGGCCCAGACACCUACGGGUGGCUG